GCAUCGGUGGUUCAGUGGUAGAAUGCUCACCUGCCACGCUGGCAGCCCGAGUUCGAUUCCCGGCUGAUGCA
rnacentral:tRNA from 1 species